CCAAGCAGCUAGCCCAUUAAACCAAUUACAAGUAAUAAAUAUAAAUAACCCCAAACACACCAGAACAUAAACCAACAAAUCAUUUUCCCCCCUUAGUAUGGGCGACAGAAAAGGGCCUAGGCGCAAUAGAGAAAGUACCGCAAGGGAAUGCUGAAAGAGAAGUGAAAAAACCCAGUAAAGCAUAAAAAAGCAGAGCUGCCUCCUCGAUUU
rnacentral:rRNA from 1 species